rnacentral:rRNA from 1 species
UACAGAGGGUGCGAGCGUUAAUCGGAAUUACUGGGCGUAAAGGGCGCGUAGGCGGGUAAUUAAGUUAGUUGUGAAAUCCCUGGGCUUAACCUAGGAACUGCAACUAAUACUGAUUAUCUAGAGUGCAGUAGAGGAUAGUGGAAUUUCCGGUGUAGCGGUGAAAUGCGUAGAUAUCGGAAGGAACACCAGUGGCGAAGGCGGCCUUCUGGACCAGCACUGACACUCAAGCACGAAAGCGUGGGGAGCAAACAGG